rnacentral:rRNA from 1 species
GACGGAGGAUGCAAGCGUUAUCCGGAAUGAUUGGGCGUAAAGCGUCCGCAGGUGGCAGUUCAAGUCUGCUGUCAAAGACCGGGGCUUAACUUCGGAAAGGCAGUGGAAACUGAACAGCUAGAGUAUGGUAGGGGCAGAGGGAAUUCCUGGUGUAGCGGUGAAAUGCGUAGAGAUCAGGAAGAACAUCGGUGGCGAAGGCGCUCUGCUGGACCAUAACUGACACUCGAGGGAACGAA